ensembl:snRNA U5 U5 spliceosomal RNA
CAGCUCGAGUUUCUCUUCAUUGUCGCAUAAAUCUUUCGCCUUUUACUAAAGAUUUCCGUGGAGGGGAGCUUUUAUGCAGUGACCUGUAUUUUUUUGGGGGCUCUGCUCACAGCAGAGCU